rnacentral:rRNA from 1 species
GACGAACGCUGGCGGCGUGCUUAACACAUGCAAGUCGAGCGGAGCAGCGAACGGGCGAGUAACGCGGGAGUAACUGCCCCCCUCCCUGGGAUAACAGUUGGAAACGGCUGAUAAUACCGGAUAGUGGGGGAUGACUCGCGUCCUAUGAGCUUGUUGGUGGGGUAGUGGCCUACCAAGGCGACGACGGGUAGCCGGCCUGAGAGGGCGACCGGCCACAUUGGUCUGAGAGACGGCCCAGACUCCUACGGGAGGCAGCAGUGGUGAAUAUUGCACAAUGGGGGAAACUCUGAUGCAGCAGCGCCGCGUGCGUGAUGACGGUCUUCGGGUUGUAAACCGCUUUCGGCCAUGACGCGGUAGUGGCAGAAGAAGCACCGGCUAACUACGUGCCAGCAGCCGCGGUAAUUC